rnacentral:snoRNA from 1 species
CUACUUUUAGUGAUUCAAACAAUUACGGAUGAAAGAGUUUCGACUCGUGUCCGAGAGCGCAGAACCCCAUGUGGAUCUUUCCGUUGCCUUCCUUAUGAUCUUUUUC